rnacentral:tRNA from 1 species
GCCGGCAUAGCUCAGUGGUAGAGCAACGGUUUUGUAAACCGUAGGUCGCGGGUUCAAAUCCUGCUGCCGGCU